rnacentral:snRNA from 1 species
AUGCCUCAGUGGCACACAUACUAAAAUUGGAGUGACACGGAGAAGAUUAGCACGGCCUUGUGCAAGGAUGACACACAGAUUCGUGAAGUAUCCCAUAUUUAU